CUAUACAUGACUCUGCGCAUAUCAAUAAGCGGAGGAAAAGAAACUAACAAGGAUUCCCUUAGUAACGGCGAGUGAAGCGGGAAGAGCUCAAAUUUGAAAUCUUCAAGGUUUUACCUUGACGAAUUGUAGUUUAAAGAAGUGUUUUCUGUUGGAGUUUUGGUAAAAGUUCUUUGGAAUAGGACAUCAUAGAGGGUGAGAAUCCCGUAUUUGACCGUUACUUUCCAGCUGUGUGAUACACUUUCAAAGAGUCGGAUUGUUUGGGAAUGCAGUCCAAGAUGGGUGGUAAAUUUCAUCUAAAGCUAAAUAUUGGCGAGAGACCGAUAGCGAACAAGUACCGUGAGGGAAAGAUGAAAAGAACUUUGAAAAGAGAGUUAAACAGUACGUGAAAUUGUCAAAAGGGAGCGUUUGACACCAGUGUUGUUUAGUUGAAAAUCAAUUCAAUAGUUUUUGAUUCUAAGUAGUAUUGACUUCAUCAGCUUGCUGCUUUCUUCUCAGAAAUUAUUGAAUGCACUUUUCAGUUAACAAGUCAACAUCAAUUUCUUUUGUUGUAAAAGGGUAAGAGGAAGGUGGCUUGCGCUUCGGCUCAAGUGUUUAUAGCCUUUUAUCUCCUGCAAUCGGAGAGAUUGAGGGCUGCAGCGUAGAUCCUUCGGGGUUAGAUACAUUGGUGCUAAGCUAUAGCCUUGUAUAGACAACUUGUUGACUAUGCUCAGUCAUGUAGCUUACUCGCUGAUGCUAUUUUACCUACGCUUAGGAUGUUGACACACGCGCGUGCUCG
rnacentral:rRNA from 1 species